UAUGGCUCAGUUCGACUAAAUAUAGUUGUGAGAGUAACUUUAAGAUGAACGAUUAACGAAUGUCUCUAUUCAACUAAAUGUAGAUGUGAGAGUAACUUUAAGAUAAAAGAUUAACGGAAAAUAUUAAUUAGUCAAAUUAUAUUUCCGUAAAAAAAAAAAACGAAAAAAAAACUCAUUUUGUAGAGGGUGUAUGUAGCCAGAAAUAAUUGGACCAAAUGACCAAAUCUAGCCAAAACUAAAUCUAAGUUGGGAAGCUAUUUAACCCAAUCAAUAGAAAUACAUGGCGGGAAUUUGUUGCUCCACCGGCGUUAUUUCAACAUCCUACAACUCCAGACUGUCCAAAAUCACCAAUACCAGAAUUUUCUGCAAUUCAAACCUAUCAACUGACCGCAAUUCAAAGAAACAAACUCCCCAGCUUCUUAAAUUUGCCGUUAAUGGGGUCACUGAAUUUCUCAGGCUUUUCUCUUCCUUCAAUAGUAACAGAAUGGAUGUGGUGGUUGCUAAAGGGGAAGAGGAUUUAUUAAUUUCUGGGGUGGAUGAUGUUUUGGGUAUUCUCAAGUCAGAUUAUGAUAAUGCAUAUUUUGUUACAGAUUGUAUGCAUCUUGAUAUUGUCCAUGCUCAGGAUGAGGCCUGUGGUUAUCGUGGAAACUCCUAUAAUCUUCGUAUAUGUGAUCAUUCAUAUGCUUGGAUUUUUACCUCUUCAAUGUAUAUCGAGGAUUGUCUUUUUGAGGAUCCAACUAUUAAAUUUCAUGGUAGAGAGUUGUAUUCACGGAACUUGCAAUUGCUUGUACCUUUCUUUGAGCAACCCUCUAUUGUACUCAAAAGCAUUGAGAAGGGCGUUGAUGCUGAGAGAGAUUUUGUUUUGGCAACUUGGAGCUUAAGGACCUACUUAAAGCUUCCAUGGAAGCCUCUGAUUGCCAUUGAAGGAAGCACAACCUAUGAUCUAAAUGAUGAAUAUAAAAUUGUCAAACAUGUGGAAAGGUGGAAUGUUUCUGCAGUUGAAGCAGUCGGGCAGAUAUUCACUCCUAGUUUCAGAAGACCAUAGGAUUGAUCAAGUAAUUCACUAAUUCUCAAGUGACAGCCAUGUUUAAGCAAUAGUAUAAACUUACAUGGGAGAUAUCCUAUCAGAUUCUUAUGAGGGACUAGUCUCACUGUCAGAUAUGUUUAUAUUGGCAUAUGGCAAUAUCAGUUAUGAAGCUGAGCAAUUCUUCCCUCUGAUAAACUGUUCGAAAUAUUAUUACUGUGUGAAGCUUCCUUAAGCAUAUACUUUUCCAUAGAACAAGCAUCAAUGAUGCUGCAUUUGUUUUGCUUCAUAUGUAGGAAAACCUGUAUAAAAGGCACCGUCUAAAGUCAGUGCUCUGCAUUAUUUUUCUAUCCUAGCUCUAGUUUGUGUAUAAGACGAUGGCUAAGUUAAGGCUGGAAACUUGUGGCUUUUGUUUCAUAAAGUUGCUGCAGAUGAUGUACUAAUGUGUAGCCAGUUAGAACUGAUAUUGAACGUUGUAGCUUUAUAAUACAUAUAAUAUCCAUGGAUAUGCUGUUUUGAUGUUUUGAAUCAUAAUGUAAUUUAAUUUUACU